rnacentral:rRNA from 1 species
GAUGAACGCUGGCGGCGUGCCUAAUACAUGCAAGUCGAGCGAACGGACGAGAAGCUUGCUUCUCUGAUGUUAGCGGCGGACGGGUGAGUAACACGUGGAUAACCUACCUAUAAGACUGGGAUAACUUCGGGAAACCGGAGCUAAUACCGGAUGAUAUUUUGAACCGCAUGGUUCAAAAGUGAAAGACGGUCUUGCUGUCACUUAUAGAUGGAUCCGCGCUGCAUUAGCUAGUUGGUAAGGUAACGGCUUACCAAGGCAACGAUGCAUAGCCGACCUGAGAGGGUGAUCGGCCACCCUGGAACUGAGACACGGUCCAGACUCCUACGGGAGGCAGCAGUAGGGAAUCUUCCGCAAUGGGCGGAAGCCUGACGGAGCAACGCCGCGUGAGUGAUGAAGGUCUUCGGAUCGUAAAACUCUGUUAUUAGGGAAGAACAUAUGUGUAAGUAACUGUGCACAUCUGGACGGUACCUAAUCAGAAAGCCACGGCUAACUACGUG